GCAGAACAAAAUACAGUCUUAUAACAGGAGGAAACAUCCAGAACCAGACUGAGGUCCUGGAAACAGACUAGGAUCUGGGAAACAAGCCCCAGAGGGGCCUCUGCUCAAUGCAGAUGCCAAUCAGGGCUGGGGCCAGAGAAGACUCAAUUUCCAAGCCAGGAGCUCACAUCCAGCAGGAGAGAUAAACCAGGCCCAAAAGUAACUAUAAAAUAAGGCAGACAGUGAUAAGAGCCACACAGAUAAAGCACAGCGGGGACUCAAAGCUGAGAGAGGAGUCCAAGUUGAGCAGCAGGAGAUGAAGGGGAGCAUCUGCGACUUCCCUCCCACAAGGAUUUCAGAAGUGGACCGGAAGCUAGAAGGAAGCAACAGUGCUCUCGCAAACACUCCCAGGCUGCUGUGAGAGCGGGUAAUGAAAGCACAGAAACCGAACACUUGUGCUUUCAAACAAACCUGCACUUGGCUGAAGAGAAAAGGCAGCUGAUGCCGAGUGGCUGGGGUGAGACAGGAAACCUGCUGGCCGAGGGCCACACCUUCCCAGAUGGCGAGUUCUGCUCAGCUGGUCCUCUCUAAGCCUGAUGCCCUUCAGGAGCUGUCCUGGACUCCUGCGCAGCAGCCAGCCUCUGCUUCCCAGCUGUCCACCUUCAAGGACAUUGCUGGCCCCGCCACCACCAGAGAUCAUGGCCCCUCCAGACACCAGUUCUCCAGAUCUCCUCUUCUGUUCCUUUGCUGGCAGCUCAAGCACCACCACAGGGGCCGGCCGCCAGUACAGUCCCUUCCUCAUCACCAGCCCCUGCGGGCUUCACUGCUCCCUCUUUAUCUGCCUCAAGGCCAUACUCAUGACUCCCUUACCCUCUCACCCAAGCCCGACAUGCUGCAGUGCCCCCACUUCCCGCCUCCACUGCCCCAGCUGAACUUGGCUGGUAUCUAUUAUGUAUGUUUAUUGUUUUUUUGGUUUUUUUUUUUUUGGUACCAGGGAUUGAACUCAGGUCCUUGUGCUUGCAAGGGAGGCCACUGAACCACUGAGCUAUAUCCCCAGCCCCUGUAUGUAUGUUUACUGAUGGCUGGUUUUAGAGAUAAUAAAUCUGAGUUCCAAAAAAAUGUAAAUGAAUUUGUCUAAGGUCACACAGCCAGGCAGAAUCAAGGACAAAACACAUUCCAAAUUUCCUCAUUCUCAACUUGAUUCUGCUCUCUUCAUUUAUGCAAAUGCCUCUGUAGCAAUUUUUUUCUUCCAGUACAAGGAUUGAACUAGGGCCUAAUAUUCUACCACUGAACAGCA